AACAUUUCUGACAGCAAGGACGUGCAAAAAUGAAUCGAAAAUUUCUUAAAGAAUUUAUUGAUGGCGUAGAACAUAAGCCGGAUUUGUGGCAAAAUAAAAGCGAACAUUACAAAAAUAUUCAUUUGCGCAAUAAAGCGUGGGAUAAGUUGCUAUUAAAAUAGAGGUAGAUGAAUAUGCUAUAAUGAACGUCGUCAAAAAAAAAUAAAUAAAUAAAAUAAAAUAAAAUACCUUAACUCUCAACGAGCAUCAUACAGGCGCGAAAAUUCAAAAAUUAAAAGAAGCGAGAAGUCAGGUGCUGGUGCAGAUGAUAUCUACGAGCCCAACAUAUGGUAUUUCGAAAAUUUAAGCUUUCUGCAUGAUUAAGAAUUGCCAGCCGAUGGACUUCGCACAUUUGACGAUACUUCAUGUGUUGAAAAUGAAAAUAUCAGGCCAAAAAACGGAAAAAUUACGAAAGUAGCGAGUUCCUGCAAAUAGCAUUGGAACAUUUGGACAACAAUGCCAAUAAAAAGCCGAAGGAUGACGCAGAGAUCUUCAGUCUGUCUUGUCUGAGGACCAACAAAUACUUGCUAAGAAAGGAAUGGAUACAAUUAUUUUGCAAGGCCGAUUGGGUAUGCUGACGUACGACCGCAUUAUGCAGCUCGAGCAACCUCCACGUGCUCCACUCUAAUGCAUCCAGUAGUCCAGCGCACAGGUUGAAAAGCCAGUACCAACUUCUAUUGUGAUAUAUUGGACGAGCACACCGCUUGCAUCCGAUUCAACAAGUUCAUCGGGUUUCUCAAUCUAUCCAGUUGAAGCAAAUCCAUCGGGAAAUUUGCAAUACCGCUCAUUUGCAUAACUUUUUAAUAACUCCGAUUUUAAAUAAAUUUUUAUAUGUUA